ensembl:lncRNA
GCUGUUUUGAGCUGCAGGAGCCUGGAUUCUUUGGCCUCAAGGACCAGCUUGUAGAACUCCUGCUGGGUAUGAAAAUGGUGAUAAUGUUAUUUACCAAUGCAUGUAUUUUCUGUAAAAAUUCUGUAUGUACAAAUCUCCAAGAACUGCUGGAGAUUGGUCCACCAGAGGAAGACAGCUGUGGUAAACCUCCCCAGAAGGAUAUCAAGCCCAUGGAAGUGGAUCUACCCCAAGACUAAGAGGAGACCAUGGACCCAUAUAUGGUGCAACAAUUGCAGUGGGACACCACGCAGUUUAAAUUCCUUUUUUUUCUCUCAAUGAUGGAUUCCUGAGAACUAAGACAUUCCAGAAUCCAUGAAACCAAUUCAAAUCAAGGGAGAUCUUGCAUCUAUUGAAACCACAGAGUGGAUUGGCUUCUAGAAAUUCUGCUCCCUACUUAUGAAUACUGACGCAGUGGGAUGACGGUCAGAUCUCAGGGGCUGCUCCGACCUGUCAGCCCCUAGAGCUUCUGUCCUACGUUGUCAUUUAAGUGGACCCCCUGGCCUUUCCCAGAGGCAAAGGUAGGUGUAAGAGGUGCAGGUUGUUGGUGCUUUUCAGCUGCACAGCCAGGAGCUGCAUGUGUGAACUGCGGGACAAGGUGCACAAAUGCAUUUGCCCAGGUAGGGAUGCACACCAAAGGAUGUGCUUUAGAGGCCACAACAGUAAGAAAGGGGAACCUGCCAGAGAACCUGUGUCUGUCUGUAUCCAUAUAAAGAUGAGUAUAACCUUUGGGCUAAGUUAUGGUUCUCUUGACUGUUUUCGACUGUUUCUCUACUCAUCAUUUUCCCAAUGGAUAAUAUUUUGUUUUUAAUCUCACCACAGUGACAUAGAGAAAUAUUUAUACUAUUUUCAAAUAAUGGUUAGAAAAUAUGGAGUAUAUUGGCUCUGUGUAACACAUUACAGUGGUGGCAGAGCCAAGCACUGAAUGCAGAAAUCUGGAAUCCCAGGGUAGUUUUAACCUGCAAGGUCUUUGUUGCACUUGAAAGGAGACCACAGAGCCUAUACUGCCUCUGCUGCAGUUCUGCUGGGAAUUAUAGACAGCCAUAACCUUUAUCAUUUGGUAGCAUAGCUGAAUGUUACUGAGUAUAUCUAAAAUGCCAUGUAGAAUAAGAAAUGCUACAAGAAGUUAUUUUUCUGCUGUGAUUUGUAGAUGUUGCAUCAUUGACAUAAACAGUUGAAAAU